rnacentral:rRNA from 1 species
GAGGGUUUGAUCCUGGCUCAGAUUGAACGCUGGCGGCAGGCCUAACACAUGCAAGUCGAGCGGAUGAAGGGAGCUUGCUCCUGGAUUCAGCGGCGGACGGGUGAGUAAUGCCUAGGAAUCUGCCUGGUAGUGGGGGAUAACGUCCGGAAACGGGCGCUAAUACCGCAUACGUCCUGAGGGAGAAAGUGGGGGAUCUUCGGACCUCACGCUAUCAGAUGAGCCUAGGUCGGAUUAGCUAGUUGGUGGGGUAAAGGCCUACCAAGGCGACGAUCCGUAACUGGUCUGAGGGGAUGAUCAGUCACACUGGAACUGAGACACGGUCCAGACUCCUACGGGAGGCAGCAGUGGGGAAUAUUGGACAAUGGGCGAAAGCCUGAUCCAGCCAUGCCGCGUGUGUGAAGAAGGUCUUCGGAUUGUAAAGCACUUUAAGUUGGGAGGAAGGGCAGUAAGUUAAUACCUUGCUGUUUUGACGUUACCAACAGAAUAAGCACCGGCUAACUUCGUGCCAGCAGCCGCGGUAAUACGAAGGGUGCAAGCGUUAAUCGGAAUUACUGGGCGUAAAGCGCGCGUAGGUGGUUCAGCAAGUUGGAUGUGAAAUCCCCGGGCUCAACCUGGGAACUGCAUCCAAAACUACUGAGCUAGAGUACGGUAGAGGGUGGUGGAAUUUCCUGUGUAGCGGUGAAAUGCGUAGAUAUAGGAAGGAACACCAGUGGCGAAGGCGACCACCUGGACUGAUACUGACACUGAGGUGCGAAAGCGUGGGGAGCAAACAGGAUUAGAUACCCUGGUAGUCCACGCCGUAAACGAUGUCGACUAGCCGUUGGGAUCCUUGAGAUCUUAGUGGCGCAGCUAACGCGAUAAGUCGACCGCCUGGGGAGUACGGCCGCAAAGUUAAAACUCAAAGGAAUUGACGGC